rnacentral:rRNA from 1 species
UUAAUUAAAACAAAGCAUUGUGAUGGCAUUUUGAAUGUGUUGAUGCAAUGUGAUUUCUGCCCAGUGCUCUGAAUGUCAAGGUGAUGAAAUUCAACCAAGCGCGGGUAAACGGCGGGAGUAACUAUGACUCUCUUAAGGUAGCCAAAUGCCUCGUCAUCUAAUUAGUGACGCGCAUGAAUGGAUUAACGAGAUUCCUAUUGUCCUUACUUUCAAUUUAGCGAAACCACAGCCAAGGGAACGGGCUUGGGUUAGUCAGCGGGGAAAGAAGACCCUGUUGAGCUUGACUCUAGUCUGACAUUGUGAAAUGACUCAGGAGGUGUAGAAUAAGUGGGAGUAUUCUUGCAAUCAUGAAAUACCACUACUCUUGAUGUUAUUUUACUUAUUCUGUGAAACUCGUUCUUGCAUUUGCAUGUUGUUGCUCUCCAGCCAUUAUGCGUUGGUGUAUUUGUGUGGAAUAAUGUGUCAGGUAGGGAGUUUGGCUGGGGCGGCACAUCUGUCAAAUGAUAACGCAGGUGUCCUAAGGUGAGCUCAAUAAGAACAGAAAUCUUAUGUGGACUAAAAGGGGAAAAGCUUGCUUGAUUUUCAUUUUCAGUGCAAAUAUAAACUGUGAAA